UGGUGGGCUCACAACACUCGUAGCUCACCUUCUCACUUCCCGAACCCCAAGCUGAAACCCUAGGGUACACACUAAAAACCCUACACCCACUUUUGUUUCUUUUCUUUCUUUUUCUCUCGAAAGUUUUUGAACUUCCUACUCACACACAAGGCUUCCUCACGCCCACUAUUCUCUCUCAAAAAAUUUCUACACAUGCCCCACCUCCCUUUCUCUUUUAAAACAGUGCAAGACAUGUCUUAUCCGCGUGAAAGGAU
rnacentral:lncRNA from 1 species